rnacentral:rRNA from 1 species
CAGAUACCGCCCUAGUUCUGACCGUAAACGAUGCCAACUAGCGAUCCGCCGGCGGAUUCAUUCGCCCUGGUGGGGAGCUUCCCGGAAACGAAAGUCUUCCGGUUCCGGGGGAAGUAUGGUUGCAAAGCUGAAACUUAAAGGAAUUGACGGAAGGGCACCACCAGGAGUGGAGCCUGCGGCUUAAUUUGACUCAACACGGGGAAACUCACCCGGCCCGGACACCGUAAGGAUUGACAGAUUGAUAGCUUUUUCAUGAUUCGGUGGAUGGUGGUGCAUGGCCGUUCUUAGUUCGUGGAGCGAUUUGUCUGGUUUAUUCCGAUAACGAGCGAGACUCUGGCCUACUAAAUAGUUGGCACAUUGCCACUGUGUGCACAACUUCUUAGAGGGAUUUUCGGUGUUCAGCCGCACGGAAUUGAGCAAUAACAGGUCUGUGAUGCCCUUAGAUGUCCGGGGCUGCACGCGCGCUACACUGGCAAAAUCAGCGUGCUUGUCCUCCCCCGAAAGGGGUUGGUAAACCGAUGAAAAUUUGCCGUGAUUGGGAUCGGACAUUGCAAUUAUUGUCCGUGAACGAGGAAUCCCUUGUAAGGGCGAGUCAUCAACUCGUCCUGAAUACGUCCCUG